CCUACGGGAGGCAGCAGUGGGGAAUAUUGCGCAAUGGACGAAAGUCUGACGCAGCAACGCCGCGUGAGGGAUGACGGCCUUCGGGUUGUAAACCUCUUUCAGCAGGGACGCGGUACCUGCAGAAGAAGGACCGGCCAACUACGUGCCAGCAGCCGCGGUAAUACGUAGGGUCCGAGCGUUGUCCGGAAUUAUUGGGCGUAAAGGGCUCGUAGGCGGUUCGUCACGUCGGGAGUGAAAACUCGGAGCUCAACUCCGAGCCUGCUUCCGAUACGGGCAGACUAGAGGUAGGCAGGGGAGAGCGGAACUCCUGGUGUAGCGGUGGAAUGCGCAGAUAUCAGGAAGAACACCGGUGGCGAAGGCGGCUCUCUGGGCCUUCCUGACGCUGAGGAGCGAAAGCGUGGGUAGCGAACAGGAUUAGAUACCCUUGUAGUC
rnacentral:rRNA from 1 species